rnacentral:rRNA from 1 species
ACGUUAGCGGCGGACGGGUGAGUAACACGUGGAUAACCUACCUAUAAGACUGGGAUAACUUCGGGAAACCGGAGCUAAUACCGGAUAACAUGUUGAACCGCAUGGUUCAACAGUGAAAGACGGUCUUGCUGUCACUUAUAGAUGGAUCCGCGCCGCAUUAGCUAGUUGGUAAGGUAACGGCUUACCAAGGCAACGAUGCGUAGCCGACCUGAGAGGGUGAUCGGCCACACUGGAACUGAGACACGGUCCAGACUCCUACGGGAGGCAGCAGUAGGGAAUCUUCCGCAAUGGGCGAAAGCCUGACGGAGCAACGCCGCGUGAGUGAAGAAGGUCUUCGGAUCGUAAAACUCUGUUAUUAGGGAAGAACAAAUGUGUAAGUAACUAUGCACGUCUUGACGGUACCUAAUCAGAAAGCCACGGCUAACUACGUGCCAGCAGCCGCGGUAAUACGUAGGUGGCAAGCGUUAUCCGGAAUUAUUGGGCGUAAAGCGCGCGUAGGCGGUUUUUUAAGUCUGAUGUGAAAGCCCACGGCUCAACCGUGGAGGGUCAUUGGAAACUGGAAAACUUGAGUGCAGAAGAGGAAAGUGGAAUUCCAUGUGUAGCGGUGAAAUGCGCAGAGAUAUGGAGGAACACCAGUGGCGAAGGCGACUUUCUGGUCUGUAACUGACGCUGAUGUGCGAAAGCGUGGGGAUCAAACAGGAUUAGAUACCCUGGUAGUCCACGCCGUAAACGAUGAGUGCUAAGUGUUAGGGGGUUUCCGCCCCUUAUUGCUGCAGCUAACGCAUUAAGCACUUCGCCUGGGGAGUACGACCGCAAGGUUGGAACUCAAAAGGAAUUUUAAGGGGGACCCCCCCAAACCGGUUGGAACCCCGUGGGUUUUAUUUC